GGCCAGACUCCUACGGGAGGCAGCAGUGGGGGAUAUUGCACAAUGGGGGGAACCCUGAUGCAGCGACGCCGCGUGGGUGAAGGAGCGUUUCGGCGCGUAAAGCCCUAUCGGCAGGGAAGAAGGAGGACGGUACCUGACUAAGAGGCCCCGGCUAACUACGUGCCAGCAGCCGCGGUAAUACGUAGGGGGCAAGCGUUAUCCGGAUUUACUGGGUGUAAAGGGAGCGUAGACGGCAAUGCAAGCCAGAUGUGAAAGCCCGGGGCUCAACCCCGGGACUGCAUUUGGAACUGUGUAGCUGGAGUGUGUGAGAGGAUAGUGGAAUUCCAGGUGUAGGAGUGAAAUCCGUAGAUAUCUGGAGGAACAUCAGUGGCGAAGGCGACUAUCUAGCACAUAACUGACGCUGAGGAGCGAAAGCGUGGGUAGCAAACAGGAUUAGAUACCCCAGUAUAA
rnacentral:rRNA from 1 species